CUACGGGAGGCACCAGUGGGGAAUAUUGGACAAUGGGCGAAAGCCUGAUCCAGCCAUGCCGCGUGAGUGAUGAAGGCCCUAGGGUUGUAAAGCUCUUUCAGGUGGGAUGAUGAUGACCGUACCACCAAAAGAAGCCCCGGCUAACUUCGUGCCAGCAGCCGCGGUAAUACGAAGGGGGCUAGCGUUGUUCGGAAUUACUGGGCGUAAAGAGGGUGUAGGUGGAUUAUUAAGUCAGAAGUGAAAGCCCAAGGCUCAACCUUGGAACUGCUUUUGAUACUGAUGAUCUAGAGUCCGGGAGAGGAUUGUGGAAUUCCGAGUGUAGAGGUGAAAUUCGUAGAUAUUCGGAGGAACACCAGAGGCGAAGGCGGCAAUCUGGAACGUGACUGACACUGAGACCCGAAAGCGUGGGGAGCAAACAGGAUUAGAUACCCUGGUAGUC
rnacentral:rRNA from 1 species